rnacentral:rRNA from 1 species
GGUGGAGCAAAACUCAAAAACUUGUCUCAGUUCGGAUUGUAGGCUGAAACUCGCCUACAUGAAGCUGGAGUUGCUAGUAAUCGCGAAUCAGCAUGUCGCGGUGAAUACGUUCCCGGGCCUUGUACACACCGCCCGUCACACCAUGAGAGUUGGCAAUACCCAACGUACGUGAUCUAACCCGCAAGGGAGGAAGCGUCCUAAGGUAGGGUCAGCGAUUGGGGUGAAGUCGUAACAAGGUACC